GACGAACGCUGGCGGCGUGCCUAAUACAUGCAAGUAGAACGCUGAAGAGAGGAGCUUGCUCUUCUUGGAUGAGUUGCGAACGGGUGAGUAACGCGUAGGUAACCUGCCUUGUAGCGGGGGAUAACUAUUGGAAACGAUAGCUAAUACCGCAUAACAAUGGAUGACACAUGUCAUUUAUUUGAAAGGGGCAAUUGCUCCACUACAAGAUGGACCUGCGUUGUAUUAGCUAGUAGGUGAGGUAACGGCUCACCUAGGCGACGAUACAUAGCCGACCUGAGAGGGUGAUCGGCCACACUGGGACUGAGACACGGCCCAGACUCCUACGGGAGGCAGCAGUAGGGAAUCUUCGGCAAUGGGGGCAACCCUGACCGAGCAACGCCGCGUGAGUGAAGAAGGUUUUCGGAUCGUAAAGCUCUGUUGUAAGUCAAGAACGAGUGUGAGAGUGGAAAGUUCACACUGUGACGGUAGCUUACCAGAAAGGGACGGCUAACUACGUGCCAGCAGCCGCGGUAAUACGUAGGUCCCGAGCGUUGUCCGGAUUUAUUGGGCGUAAAGCGAGCGCAGGCGGGUUAGAUAACUCUGAAGUUAAAGGCUGUGGCUUAACCAUAGUACGCUUUGGAAACUGUUUAACUUGAGUGCAAGAGGGGGAGAGUGGAGUUCCAUGUGUGAGCGCUAAAAUGCGUAGAUAUAUGGGAGGAACAACGGGGGGCCGCGACCGCUCUCUGGCUUGUAUGUGACGCUGAAGGGUCGCAAACUUGGGAGCGAGAAGUAUAGAUAUGCUUGUAUCAUAGGGAAUUCAUCGUGGAUGGGGGUGAGGGGCCGGGACCCCGAGGAGGGGGCGGGCGGGGGGGGGGGGUGCCCCCGGGGAAAAAAAUAGUAUCGUACUACCGACGGGAGUG
rnacentral:rRNA from 1 species